GGCGGCCCCGGGACAGCCCAACCCUGAGCAACAGUGGCAUCAGAGCCACCUCCAGGACAGCCAAGCAGCGGUCGGGGCUCCCUCCCUCUGAGGAGCAGCCAACCUCCCAGAGGGUGAGUCCCAAGAGGGGAGGUGCUGCACCCCAUCCUGGCCAGGGCUAACAGCCUGCUGCCUACCCUGCAGGACCGCCUGAGCCAGGUGCUGCGAGACCUCGAGGACGAGAGCACGCCCAUUGUGAAACUGGGGGAUGCCAGCAUCGCAGCACCCUUCACCUCCAAGCUCUCGUCCAUCCAGUGCAGUGAGUUGCCUGCCCCCGCUCCCCCUCCCUUCGUUCCCCCUUGGCACCCCUACCCACACCCACACCUGCCUCCCCACCACCCUGCAGUCUGCCACGUGAUCAAGCAGGGCCGCUGCACGCUGGUGACCACGCUACAGAUGUUCAAGAUCCUGGCGCUCAAUGCCCUCAUCCUGGCCUACAGCCAGAGCGUCCUCUACCUGGAGGGGGUCAAGUUCAGUGACUUCCAGGCCACCCUACAGGGGCUGCUGCUGGCCGGCUGCUUCCUCUUCAUCUCCCGUUCCAAGGUGGGCCCCAGAGGUGCUGGAAGGCCAGGGAUGCAUGGGCCUGCCAGGGCCAGGCUGAUAUAGGCACGGGAAUUGUCAUCCCCAAGUUACAGGACCCAGGGCCCCAGAGGUGGGGGCUGUAGCUGGGAUGGCUCAGGAAAUGCCGGCAGGGCAGUUGCGGACUGAGGCUCCCAGACCCCUCCAGGCGGCACAGCUUGGGGUCCACACCUGUCCACAGGCAGGGGUUCCAGGAGUGGGCCUCACAGAGCCCCACAAGCAAGGAACAAUCAUCAAGAGGGUAAAAAAACAACUAAGUGGGUCAUAGGCUACACAGGACAGGCUAGUGGACAGCUGGGGAGGCCUGUGUGACACCGACACUCAGGCCAAGGCGUAAAGAACCAGGGGAGCCAGCGGCCGGGAACUGGACGCAAAGGCCCCAAACAGGCAUGGGCUGACGCAGGGAGGCCCCAGUGGCUGGAGGGGGUGGGAGAUUGGCUGGGCGGGACUGUGCCUGUCCCGUGGGCUCCAGGAAGGGCAGGAUCUGCUUCAUGAUUCUCAGGCCCCUGUGGCUGCCACGGGGAGCCUGGAUGGCAGAGCCAGGGCCAGGGAGGCAGCCCUGGGCUCAGGGGUGAGAGGCAGGUAGGGCUCCGGGGACUGGUGCCGACUCAUGGAAUCCCCCAGGAUUUGGUGGUGGCUCUACACAAGGUCUCCCGGGAGGCAGAUGUUACUGCCUGCUGUGUGGGCAGGGUGGCCCCGAGUGAGCCAGAUCCUGACUCCCCCACCCGCCUUGCUGCUGCAGCCCCUCAAGACCCUCUCCCGAGAACGGCCCCUGCCCAACAUCUUCAACCUGUACACCAUCCUCACUGUCAUGCUCCAGUUCUUUGUGCACUUCCUGAGCCUUGUCUACCUGUACCGUGAGGCCCAGGCCCGGAGCCCCGAGAAGUAAGUGCUGCCUUGGAGGAGGUGAUGUCCCUGCAGCUGAGAGUAGCAGGAUGACGACUCCACAGACAUCAGCAGGAGAGCCUGGGGGUUGUCCAGGGUGUCCAGGGAGGGGCACUAGGCCAGGCAGAGCCCUAGCUCUGCCAGGGCAGCAGGAAGCCACAGAGUGUGUGUGAGCCGGAGCAGGAGAGGGGGCCCUGACUCCCAUGUGUCCUUGCAGGCAGGAGCAGUUCGUGGACUUGUACAAGGAGUUUGAGCCAAGCCUGGUCAACAGCACCGUCUACAUCAUGGCCAUGGCCAUGCAGAUGGCCACCUUCGCCAUCAACUACAAAGGCCCGCCCUUCAUGGAGAGCCUGCCCGAGAACAAGCCCCUGGUGUGGAGUCUGGCAGUUUCACUCCUGGCCAUCAUUGGCCUGCUCCUCGGCUCCUCGCCCGACUUCAACAGCCAGUUUGGCCUCGUGGACAUCCCUGUGGAGGUCAGUGGCCUUGUGGAGGUGACCCUGGGGCUCAGCUUGAUGGGUCCCUCCUAUGGCGGUGACCCUGGGCUGGGCUGCAGGUCUCCAGCUCACCAUCCCUCCCUGCCCCGACAGUUCAAGCUGGUCAUCGCCCAGGUCCUGCUCCUGGACUUCUGCCUGGCGCUCCUGGCCGACCGCGUCCUGCAGUUCUUCCUGGGGACCCCGAAGCUGAAAGUGCCUUCCUGAGAUGGCAGUGCUGGUACCCACUGCCCACCCUGGCUGCCGCUGGGCGGGAACCCCACCAGGGCCCCGGGAGGGAACCCUGCCCCCAACCCCCCACAGCAAGGCUGUACAGUCUCGCCCUUGGAAGACUGAGCUGGGACCCCCACAGCCAUCCGCUGGCUUGGCCAGCAGAACCAGCCCCAAGCCAGCACCUUUGGUAAAUAAAGCAGCAUCUGAGAUUUUAAAAA
rnacentral:sRNA from 1 species